UACAGAGGUGGCUAGCGUUGUUCGGAUUUACUGGGCGUAAAGGAUGCGUAGGUGGCUUUGUAUGUCAGAUGUGAAAUUUCAUUGCUCAACGAUGAAAGUGCAUUUGAAACUACUUGGCUUGAGUACAGGAGAGGAGCAUGGAAUUCUUGGUGUAGCGGUGAAAUGCGUAGAUAUCAAGAAGAACACCGGAGGCGAAGGCGAUGCUCUAGACUGAUACUGACACUGAGGCAUGAAAGCUGGGGGAGCAAACAGG
rnacentral:rRNA from 1 species